GUGUGGGUGGCCGAGUGGUUAAGGCGUUGGACUUAAGUUCCAAUGGACAUUAGUCCUCGUGGGUUCAAAUCCCACUCACACU
rnacentral:tRNA from 1 species